AGACAUACAUGGACAUUAAUACCAACACUGCUCUGGUAUUUUCUUAAUAAUCAUCUAGUUUUUCCAGUCACAAAAGUGAUGGUAAACGUCUGGCUCUGCUACAGUACUGAAAGAAGGGGGUGUCAAGUCACUGGGAUGAAUGGACAUGACUAGUGUUCCUCCCAAGCAUAAAUUAGUUAGAGUGAUGUCUGAGAGGCACUGUUGUAGAUUGUUGGCUGUAAUCAGGAUAUUGGGUAACUGAUAAUAAUCUGGAUAUAAACAUGCCUGUGAAUCUCUUGCUACUUCUUCCAUAAACAAGUAGGUAUAGGGGCCAGGAGAUAUAGGACUUGGUAGAGCAGUUGCAUAGCAUACACAGGCCUUGGGUCCUCUCUCCUCAGCACUACACACAGCCACAUAGACAGAGACACACAUACACAGAGACAUACACAGACACAUAGACAGAGACACACAUACACAGAGACAUACACAGACACAUAAGCACAUGCACACAACACAGAAUAGCAAUCUCCUUUGCUUAACUCUGAUCUGGACCCAAUGAUUUGUUUGACCAAUAAGGAGAGAGAUGUGAGUCUGGGAUGUCCAGAGUAUUUCCAUGGCAAUCCACAUAGCAUAGGACCCAGGCUCUCUCUAAUAUUAAAACACUGGUUCUUGGAAUCUCAAGUGGUCACUGAAGAUACCUGGCAUCCAGAGGCUCCACAUUGGAAAGGCCCAGCUCAAUGCUUCAGCAGGUGCCAGCUCAGAACCUUAGCCAGCAUUCCAGCUGUCCUCACCGUGCCAACUGUGUGAGAACCUACCCUGUUCUAGCCCAGGGCCACAGAGUAGCCACUGUUGAUGGCACCCAGAAUGGACGAAUCAAGCAGGCUGAGGCCUGUUGAGUUACUGACCCAGAGAAAGAAGAGGCUCACAGCAUUCUUGGACUGCAUUCAGGACAGUGUGCACUCAAGGUUAUCACUCUACAACUGGUCCCACGUCUGGAUCUUUGGAUCAAGCACCUGAGCAACCUGCCCUGCAGGUCUUCCCCAGAGUUUAUCAGCUUGGCAUCGUGCUAUCUGGGAGAUGAAGAGUAAUCAUUUGGUCAGACUUCCCAGUGCACUCCCUCUGUAGGCCAUGGAGAAGUAUUUAUUUCUUGGGGGUUGGGUCGGCUCCCAAGCUUCCUGUGUCGGCUUACUAGAUGCCUGCAUUCCUGCUGGUUCCAGUUUGAAGUCAGGCUGGAAUGGGAAUGUCUCUGAAGUAGCAUCAGAACUCGGAUUUGGAAGAGAGGUGAUGGUUUCCAUGCAAGGGUAGUUUACCAAGAUCUGGGUUUUCUUC
rnacentral:lncRNA from 1 species